ensembl:misc_RNA 7SK 7SK RNA
GGAUGUGAGGGCAAUCUGGCUGCGAUUUACCGCCAGGUUGAUUCCUCUGAUCUGGCUGCCUAGGCGGGUGUCCCCUUCCUCCCUCACCACUCCAUGUGCAUCCCUCCCAAAGCUGUGCACUUGGUUGAAGAGGACGGUCUUCCCCAAAUAGAGAUGGAUCGGUCAAGGGUAUAGGAGUAUCUGCACUCCCCUGCUAGAACCUCCAAACAAACUCUCAAGAGUGGUCUGAUGCCUACAAGGAGUAGAGGAGCAAAUAGUGGAAGAAGACAACAGAAGAAAGGACUUCUUG